rnacentral:pre_miRNA from 1 species
CAUGUACUCCCUUUAUCCCAUAUUAAGUGACCAAAUAUUACAUGUAUCUAGACACUUUUUUGGUAUAUAUACAUUCAUAUUUGGACAAAUUUAGGCCACUUAAUAUGGAACGGAGGGAGUAUUAA